GAUGAAGAACGCAGCGAAAUGCGAUAAGUAAUGUGAAUUGCAGAACUCAGUGAAUCAUCGAAUCUUUGAACGCACAUUGCGCCCGCCAGUAUUCUGGCGGGCAUGCCUGUUCGAGCGUCAUUUCAACCCUCAAGCCCCCGGGCUUGGUGUUGGGGAUCGGCGUGCCCUCGCGGCGCGCCGUCCCCUAAAUCUAGUGGCGGUCUCGCUGUAGCUUCCUCUGCGUAGUAGCAACACUCGCACUGGAUCGCAGCGCGGCCACGCCGUUAAACCCCCCACUUCUGAAAGUUUGACCUCGGAUCAGGUAGGAAUACCCGCUGAACUUAAGCAUAUCAAUAAGCGGAGGA
rnacentral:misc_RNA from 1 species